GACGAACGCUGGCGGCGUGCUUAACACAUGCAAGUCGAACGAUGAACCCGGAGCUUGCUCCGGUGGAUUAGUGGCGAACGGGUGAGUAACACGUGAGUAACCUGCCCUUGACUCUGGGAUAACUGCGGGAAACUGUAGCUAAUACCGGAUACGACCCUCGGCGGCAUCGCCAGGGGGUGGAAAGAAUCUCGGUCAAGGAUGGACUCGCGGCCUAUCAGCUAGUUGGUGAGGUAACGGCUCACCAAGGCGACGACGGGUAGCCGGCCUGAGAGGGUGACCGGCCACGCUGGGACUGAGACACGGCCCAGACUCCGACGGGAGGCAGCAGUGGGGAAUAUUGCACAAUGGGCGCAAGCCUGAUGCAGCGACGCCGCGUGAGGGAUGACGGCCUUCGGGUUGUAAACCUCUUUCAGCACCGACGAAGCGCAAGUGACGGUAGGUGCAGAAGAAGGACCGGCCAACUACAUGCCAGCCGCCGCAGUAA
rnacentral:rRNA from 1 species